CAUCACUAAAUCUUCAAGUUUGCUAUAAGCAGAUAAUGGUUAAACGUUUCAAUUUUCAACGAUACGAAGUUAUGUUCUGAUCGAUACGUGCAUACCUGGCUUACCGUUACCGGCUCUUGGAUUUUGGUGGUCCGCGGCCUUAUCUCAACAUCCUAUAUCGAGGAAGAGAAAAAAGCAUCGACGUUUUAGCGUUUCUAUUGUGCGUCUCGCGUUGUGUACACGAAUAUAUCGCUGAUGGAAUAAUCGUGAUAUAAGAUAAUGAUCUUUCUCCCUCUUUCUCUAGAUAGCGUGUUAAUGUUUUCAAAGAAUGCAAGUGCGAGCAGCGAAAUUACUUAUAUUGUGAAUCUAUCGUAUUAUUAAGAGUGA